rnacentral:rRNA from 1 species
AUACGGGGGGGGCUAGCGUUGUCCGGAAUCAUUGGGCGUAAAGGGCACGUAGGCGGGAUGGUCAGUCUGAGGUGAAAGCUUGCAGCUUAACUGUAAGUCUGCCUUGGAUACUGCCAUUCUUGAGUUCGGAAGAGGGAAGUGGAAUUCCUGGUGUAGCGGUGAAAUGCGUAGAUAUCAGGAAGAACACCGGUGGCGAAGGCGGCUUCCUGGUCCGAUUCUGACGCUGAUGUGCGAAAGCGUGGGGAGCAAACAGGAGUAGAAACCCUAGUAGUCC